rfam:Echinostoma caproni strain Egypt genome assembly, scaffold: ECPE_scaffold0001724
GGCCUCGUGGCUCAGCUGGCAGAGCAUGCGCGUACAAAGCGUAGGUUGCUUCAAUGCGUGGUUUCGAAUCCCACCGAGGCUA